CAGGCCUAACACAUGCAAGUCGAACGGCACCACAGCAGUAGCAAUACUGUGGGUGGCGAGUGGCGGACGGGUGAGGAAUACAUCGGAAUCUACCUUGUCGUGGGGGAUAACGUAGGGAAACUUACGCUAAUACCGCAUACGAACUAUGGUUGAAAGCGGCGGACCGCAAGGCGUCGCGCGAUUGGAUGAGCCGAUGUCCGAUUAGCUAGUUGGCGGGGUAAAGGCCCACCAAGGCGACGAUCGGUAGCUGGUCUGAGAGGAUGAUCAGCCACACUGGAACUGAGACACGGUCCAGACUCCUACGGGAGGCAGCAGUGGGGAAUAUUGGACAAUGGGGGCAACCCUGAUCCAGCCAUGCCGCGUGUGUGAAGAAGGCCUUCGGGUUGUAAAGCACUUUUGUUGGGGAAGAAAGCACUGGGCUAAUACCUUGGUGUCAUGACGGUACCCAAAGAAUAAGCACCGGCUAACUUCGUGCCAGCAGCCGCGGUAAUACGAAGGGUGCAAGCGUUACUCGGAAUUACUGGGCGUAAAGCGUGCGUAGGCGGUUUGUUAAGUCUGUCGUGAAAGCCCCGGGCUCAACCUGGGAAUGGCGAUGGAAACUGGCGAGCUAGAGUACGGUAGAGGAGAGUGGAAUUCCCGGUGUAGCAGUGAAAUGCGUAGAGAUCGGGAGGAACAUCAGUUGCGAAGGCGGCUCUCUGGACCAGUACUGACGCUGAGGCACGAAAAGCGUGUGGAGCAAACAGGAUUAGAUACCCUGGUAGUCCACGCCCUAAACGAUGCGAACUGGGACGUUGGGAGCAAUUAGGCUCUCAGUGUCGAAGCUAACGCGUUAAGUUCGCCGCCUGGGGAGUACGGUCGCAAGACUGAAACUCAAAGGAAUUGACGG
rnacentral:rRNA from 1 species